GCGGCUUCAGAGUAAGGCCAAGCAGGGCACUUGGGGGCGGAAGGGGGAUGAAGGGAAGAGACCUCAGAUGGCUUGGGACCCGAAUCUGGCUGCCAGAGCCUUGGCUCAAAGGAAUCCAUCAAGUCCACAAAAUAUACCAGCUAGUUCUGAUGCUAGUUCUGACGGCUUCAUGAGUGCAGAGCAGCAUGGCACAGCCUGGGGAUACCCACGGUCCAACUACAGUAAGAACGGAGCUUUUCCUUUUCUUGACUCUCUCAUCACACCUGUUAUCCAGUAUUUUUCCUGCGUGUAAGCUAUCGAUGGAGGUACAGCAGCUAGGCCGCCAUUCAACAGGAAAAUAAACUGAAGAAAAGCCUUCAGUGCUUUCUCCAAAAAUAUCCCUUUUGUACAAAACAAGCACAAAUAGAAACGAUGAGCCCAAA